rnacentral:rRNA from 1 species
UACAGAGGUCUCAAGCGUUGUUCGGAUUCAUUGGGCGUAAAGGGUGCGUAGGUGGCGCGCUAAGUCAGGUGUGAAAUUUCGGAGCUUAACUCCGAAACUGCAUUUGAUACUGGUGUGCUUGAGGACUGGAGAGGAGACUGGAAUUUACGGUGUAGCAGUGAAAUGCGUAGAGAUCGUAAGGAAGACCAGUGGCGAAGGCGGGUCUCUGGACAGUUCCUGACACUGAGGCACGAAGGCCAGGGGAGCAAACGGG